UUUUCAAUCUACAAAUCCACAAAAUCUAUUCACAUAUAUAUAAUUUAUACACAUUUUUGAUUGUUCUCCUUCACUGAUCUAGGGUUUCAGCAGUAUACUUGAAGCUUGUUUUGACGAUCUGAUUCUAGGUUUUGUAUCGUCCUCUCUUGGCUCACCGAUCAGGAGCCAAGAACAGAGGAACUGAGAGGUUUUGGUGAAAUGGAAUCAAGUGACGGAUUUUUGACUGAACAACAGAGGGAGAUGCUGGAUAUAGCACCGGUGAAUGUGGAGGCAUCAGGCAGUGGGGCUGGGAUUGCUGUGCGACAUGUACGGCGUACGCACUCAGGGAAACAUAUACGGGUUAAGAAGGAUGGUGCUGGUGGUAAAGGCACUUGGGGAAAAUUGCUCGAUACUGAUGUUGAAUCUCAUCUUGAUAGAAAUGAUCCCAACUAUGAUAGUGGUGAGGAGCCGUAUGAGCUUGUAGGAACUGCUGUCUCUGAUCCAUUAGAUGAUUACAAGAAAUCUGUAGUAUCAAUUAUAGAGGAGUACUUCAGCACUGCUGACGUAGAACUGGCUGCGUCUGAUCUCAAGAAAUUAGGUUUGACCGACUAUCAUCCAUAUAUUAUUAAGAGGCUUGUUUCUAUGGCCAUGGAUAGGCAUGACAAGGAGAAGGAAAUGACUUCAGUUCUUCUUUCUUCUCUUUAUGCCGAUGUCAUCAACCCUACCCAGAUCAGGCAGGGAUUUUACAUGCUUGUGGAGUCUGCUGAUGACUUGGCAGUGGACAUACCAGAUACUGUUGAUAUCCGUGCUUUAUUCAUCGCACGUGCUGUGGUUGAUGACAUUCUUCCACCAGCUUUUAUCGCUAGAGUUGGAAAAAUGGUACAAGAAUCCUCUAAGGGGUUUCAGGUGUUGCAAACUGCGGAGAAGCGCUAUCUCUCGGCUCCACACCAUGCAGAACUGGUCGAGAGGCGCUGGGGGGCAAGCACCCAAUUCACUGUUGAGGAGGUCAAGAAAAGGAUUGCUGAUCUAUUGAGGGAAUAUGUUGAGAGUGGAGAUAUUGUUGAGGCAUGCAGAUGCAUAAGGCAGUUGGAACUUCCUUUUUUCUAUCAUGAGGUUGUCAAGAGAGCUUUAGUUUUAGCCAUGGAAAUACAGUCUGCUGAACCACUUAUUCUGAAACUUUUAAAAAGGAGGCUGCAGAGGAGGGUCUUAUAAGUUCCAGUCAAAUGGUGAAGGGCUUUUCUAGGAUGGCUGAGAGUAUUGAUGAUCUUUCUCUGGAUAUUCCUUCUGCAAAAAUGUCAUUCCAGUCAAUUGUUCCUCGGGCAAUCUCUGAGGGAUGGCUUGAUGCAUCUUCUCUGAAAGCCACAGGGGAAAAUGGACAAGCAAAUGGUCCAGAUGAUGAAAAAUUGAAGCAAUACAAGAAACAAAUUGUAAGCAUAAUCCACGAAUAUUUUCUCUCGGAUGACAUUCCAGAACUAAUCCAAAGUUUGGAAGAUUUGGGGCAACCUGAGUUUAACCCCGUUUUUCUGAAGAAGCUAAUCACCCUUGCCAUGGACAGGAAAAACAAGGAAAAGGAGAUGGCAUCGGUUUUGCUUUCUGCACUUCAUAUUGAGAUUUUUUCAACUGAAGACAUAGUGAAUGGAUUUGUGAUGCUACUAGAAUCUUCAGAAGAUACAGCACUUGACAUGUUAGAUGCUUCCAAUGAACUUGCUCUUUUCCUUGCUAGGUCUGUAAUAGACGAUGUCCUGGCUCCUCUGAAUUUGGAGGAGAUAUUGAACAAGCUGCCUCCAAAUUGUAGCAGUGGAGCGGAGACCAUCUGUAUGGCUCAAUCACUUCGAUCUGCACGGCAUGCUGGUGAAAGGAUCCUGAGGUGUUGGGGUGGUGGGACUGGCUGGGCUGUGGAGGAUGCAAAGGAUAAGAUACAAAAGCUCCUGGAGGAAUUUGAAAGUAGUGGUGUUCUCAGUGAAGCUUGCCAGUGCAUACGAGAGCUCGGAAUGCCAUUCUUCAAUCAUGAGGUGGUGAAGAAAGCUUUGGUUAUGGCAAUGGAGAAGAAGAAUGACAGGAUGCUGGAUUUGCUACAAGCAUGCUUCAGCGAGGGGCUUAUCACCAUAAACCAGAUGACUAAAGGCUUUGGGAGGAUCAAUGAUGGACUAGAAGAUCUGGCUCUUGACAUUCCGAAUGCAAAGGAUAAAUUCACGUUUUAUUUGGAGCAUGCCAAAGAAAGAGGCUGGAUGUUACCAUCCUUUGGGUUACCUGCUGCAUCUUAAUGAGAAGAAUCAGAUGCAUUAGCUUGUUGCAUCUCUGUAUGUUGUUCGUUGUUGCCUUCUCCUGGUCCAUUUUAUUUGGGAGUGGUAGAUGGACACGGACUACCCAGUCAUUCCUAGAUCUUCUUUCUUUUUGAGUUUCUUGUAUGAUGGAUAUUUCUUGAUGUAAAAAUUAGAAGUCUUGCGUUAGUGGUAUAUGCAUAACGCAUUACCAUUGCUACCUUCCAUAUGGAUGUUAGUACAGAUAAUUAUCAAUCAUUUUGGUCAAUACAACAUUGUCAUUUGCUUUGUGUCA